GACGAACGCUGGCGGCGCGCCUAACACAUGCAAGUCGAACGGAGUCAAGAGGAGCUUGCUUUUCUUGACUUAGUGGCGAACGGGUGAGUAACGCGUGAGUAACCUGCCCUGGAGUGGGGGACAACAGUUGGAAACGACUGCUAAUACCGCAUAAGCCCACGGAUCUGCAUGGAUCUGCGGGAAAAGGAUUUAUUCGCUCUAGGAUGGACUCGCGUCCAAUUAGCUAGUUGGUGAGGUAACGGCCCACCAAGGCGACGAUUGGUAGCCGGACUGAGAGGUGGAACGGCCACAUUGGGACUGAGACACGGCCCAGACUCCUACGGGAGGCAGCAGUGGGGGAUAUUGCAAAAUGGGGGAAACCCUGAUGCAGCGACGCCGCGUGGAGGAAGAAGGUUUUAGGAUUGUAAACUCCUGUCGUUAGGGACGAUAAUGACGGUACCUAACAAGAAAGCACCAGCUAACUACGUG
rnacentral:rRNA from 1 species